GGAAUUCAACAAAAAAUGAUUAGUACAGACAAUAUAGACUUCAUGACAAAGCAAUCACCAACUCAAAAGCAUGGGAAUCAAAUUGAGGCACCAUAUAUUCCCAUGUUCAGCCAUGACAGGUUUAGAAUUUUUUUCCAACUAGAUGUUAAAUGUUAGAUUUUACUUGAUUAUAAAUGUUGGCUCCAUCUUCUGAUUAGAUAUAAUCAUGAGUUAAGAUGCAUAUAAAAUACUUCCUGACACGUCAACAUGAUUGUGUUUGGAACAUAGUCCGAAUAUAAAAUGAAAAAUAUUUCAAAAAAUAGUUAUGGGAUUUUAGACUUACUCUCGGAAUAUAUGUAGUUGGUUUAAAAUGUUGGAUCCUAACCUCCUAUCCCCUUUAUUUGGCCCAUCAACACCAGGAAAACCAAUUCAUCUUCUUUCUUUUUAGGUUACUUUAGGAUAUUAUCACAAAACUAUCAAAUUUUGAGAAUAGAGUAGACCAACUAACUUAAUCAGUUGAACUAGAAUCAUGCCAUUGUGUUCGUAUGACCACUUAGUAACAAUCAGCAUUACUGACAAUCUUGCAGAACGGGUCAACUUUAGGGCAAACAGGUUGGUUGCCAAUGCUGGUCUGACGUACAAGUGUUUAGACCACUAAGCCAACAUGCCAUAUACUACAUAAACAACUGUUUUGUAGACUAUUUUCCAUAUUACUUUUAAGCCAACUAACUAUGAAAGAGCAUAUAUUAAGAAAAUAUACAGCAAAUGAACAUUAUCCAAUAAAAAACAAGUUUUGAAACAAUGUAUUAUAACAAUAUUAUAUCAUCUAAAGACUAUACUAAUUAUUCAAUUUAUAUAUAUUCCAUUUAUAUAUAUAAAUGUAAAGGAAAACAAAUGUAAAGUCAUGACAGCCAAAUUUCAAAGGAAAACAAAUUUUCAAACAAUGCAUACAAAACCAUCAAAUCAAAAUACUUUCUCCAUUGGUGAGGUUUUAAUCAAUUGCUCACAUUUUCAUUUGUUAGAGUAGCUAAGACCAUUGCUGAAGAAAUGUCCCAAACCCUGCAGGGGCCACCACCUCCCAAAGAGGCAAUCAACUUGCCAUCAGAACUGCAAGACAAACAAAACCAGACUUUUUUACACCAUUAUUCUAGGAAUUCUGUCUUGCUAAAAGAAAGGAUCCUAACAAUAUAUCACCACACAAUGAGAGUUGAAACAAACUGGAAUCACAACAUAACAGGUUUAUGUUUUAACAGAUACAAGGAAAUGAUAUUUGAACUUUUGACAAGCAAAAUGUCAUUACAACAAUAAUGGCCAAAUCCUUUUCCCACCAGAUCAGGGGCCAAACAAAUGGUUACAUGAUUGCAUCUAUCACAAAUGAACUGGGCUUACCAUUAUAAUCUAUGAAGAUAGUACACACAACCUGGAUCUCCACUCAAAUAAUUCUCCUAUAAAGUGUAUGUGUUAAAUUUACCUUGGGAUACUACCUACUUACAUCAAAUUCUUCUUACUAAAGAUUUUACUUUGGUAAUGACUUGUAUGAAGGACUAUAAAACAUUAGCUUGGACUGUAAUCUCUACAAAAAACAUUCCUUAGUUGAACAAAAAGUGUCAUAUAAUUAAUGAGUGGAGAUCAUUUCCAUAAAUCAUUUUUUUACUUCUGUUAGUAAAAAAUUAUCAUCAGUAUUAGCAAACAGUUUCUCUUCAUAUAUAUAAAUGUAAAGGAAGC